rnacentral:rRNA from 1 species
AAUCAACGCUGGCGGCGUGCCUCAGACAUGCAAGUCGAACGAUUAAAGCUCUCUUCGGAGAGUGCAUAGAGUGGCGCACGGGUGAGUAACACGUAAGUAAUCUACCUUCGAGUGGGGAAUAACAGUCGGAAACGACUGCUAAUACCGCAUAAUGCAGCGGCAUCGCAAGAUGACAGUUGUUAAAGGAGCAAUCCGCUUGAAGAGGAGCUUGCGGCAGAUUAGCUAGUUGGUAAGGUAAUGGCUUACCAAGGCAACGAUCUGUAACCGACCUGAGAGGGUGGUCGGUCACACUGACACUGAAUAACGGGUCAGACUCCUACGGGAGGCAGCAGUCGGGAAUUUUGGGCAAUGGGCGCAAGCCUGACCCAGCAACGCCGCGUGAAGGAU